AAUUGCAGUCUUAAGAGAACGCGCAAGGUUUCACUGAGCUGAUCGGCGAUGGUGACGAUGGGUUUACCUUGGACCCAUGUUCUGAAGAUGGUCUAAGUAAUGAUGUGAAUUCACUCUACGUAAACAUAAUCGAGAAGAAUCGAAUGUACUACAAAUGCAAGAUUUGUGGCCGGAAGCCGUCGAGGAAACAAAGACUCGAAACCCWGACUUGAGUUGUGUUCACGGCAAAGUUGAGAAACAACCAGAAGGCAAUCACAAUUUUAAGUGUGAUUACAAACGUGUUUUACCCUCAUUAUUAUAACAGAUGCACUCAUUCUUCAAAGCCUCCUGACACAUGGACGGGUAUUCUGAAGUUGCUCCGAUGGACCGUAACAAGCGUUCAGCGACACGUUCCAACACACCGAUCUCGAUUCCUGUUUCGCUUCUACUGAGCUAGCAGCGGCGCCAACAGAGUCAAGUGCGUCUCGUAACGAAGAAACAUUUGUACAAGAGAAGGAAGCGGUUAUAGUACGGUAGAAUUUUUGCCUACAAAUUAAUGUGCACAUUCCGAAGCGUUGACCCAUGCUUAUGAUUAUGUUUAUGUAUUAUGAUUUCGGCGCAUCUCCGCACAUGAGACAUUUUGCAUCACAAGAAAACCUUUUAUGACUGGAAUCGACGAGGCCUUUGAGGUAGACACAAACAGGGCUGUUUAUGAGAUCAAGCUCUCUGACACGCAAGUAUUUUCAAGUUCUCUGGCACGUACAUAUUUUGAACGAGCUCUAUGAGUUCAUUGACGCUACGUGGGUAAAUAAAGUAUCGAUUGAUAUUGA